GAAAAGGCGGUUUCAGCGCCCCCUGCCAGUCACAGUGCACAGUGCAGGAUGAUUCACCUCAUGGUCAGCAUAAGCCCAGGUCAGGUAGGGUAGAAGGGUGCCUUGUGGGACACCAGGGAGCAGGAACUCCCCAACCUAUGCAUGUGGACCUCCCCCUGUGAAGCUCCCUUUUUUUUUUGGACAGGGUCUCACUCUGUCCCCCAGGAUGAAGUGCAGUGGUGCAAUCACAGUUCACUGCAGCCUCAACCUCCCGGACCCAAGUGAUCCUCCCAUCUCAGCUUUCAAGUACCUGCGAAUCUGGCUGCUCCACUGUUGGGUGCAUAUGUAUUCAGGAUAAGAUCUUGCAUCCCGAACAUACAAGUAAUUCCUGAGGAGUUGGCGGAGCCUCUGCCGACUCCAAGCUGAGCAUCCGAGAACUUCUGGCCCAACAGCACUCAUCAGGAAUCAGUGCAGUCUAUUUCUCCCUGGAAGCAGAGGGUCCGAAAAGUUCUGACUAGGCAAAGAGUGAGAGUGUGCAUAUCAAUUGAAGAUCCCUCAGCAACCACUGAUCUUUUCACUGUCCCUCUGGUUUUUCUUUCCCAGAAAGCUUAUGUAAUUGGAAUCAUAGCAUAUGCAGCUUUUUCAGAUUGACUUAUUUCACUUAUAAUAUACAUUUAUGAUAUUUUCAUAUUGAUUUGUGCCUUUUUAUCUCAACGGUUUUUUUUUCAGGAUCCUAUUUUAUUGUUUUUAUGACUUUUAAGAAGUUAGCAUGAAAAUAAAUCUUUAUUUUCAGUUAUUGCCUGCAAGUAAGAGAAAGUUAGGUUCACAGUUUUGGCUCUUGACACAAAGUGAACUAGGAGGCAAAUUUAGGUCCAUCAGAUACAACUAAUGGAGCAACUUUUUAAGUUCAGGCUAUCUUGAAAGCUUGCAACAUAUGAGAUAUCGCUGUGUUGUCUCUCACGACAGCAAUGGGUGACACUGAGUAGAAGCUGUGAAGUGUUUUUAAUAGCAGGGGUUUUCUAUCUUAUGUUGCUGGAAAUCAAGAGGUUUAUAAACAUGGUACAUGUUUAGAAAUGAGUUAGAUACUUGAAAAGUCUAAACACACUGAUUUACGAGUGCGUAUGUUGCAGUCUCAAGAGGGGUCAAUAGUCCAUAUGGACUAAAUUAAUCUCCGGGUAGCAGGUAUGUUUGUAAAUAUAAAAUUAUAUUAGACGUUAGCGCAGUGCAGAACGUGCUCAGCAUCAUAAGAUCUGAAACACCACACAAGUUUAUCCAUCAUUAAAAACAAUUACUUCCUUCCUAAAAUGUCAGAAUAGUAGGUAACUGAGAUUAAUAAAUCGAAUCCAAAUGUAUCUCAAUGGUUUUUUAUCACUGGAUAAUAUUCCAUUGAUCAGUGUAACAAAGUUUGUUGGUACAUUCGCCUACUGAAGAACAUAAAGGUUGCUUUCAAUGUGGGCAGUAUGGAUAAAGCUACCAUAAACAUUCCUGUGGACUUUUUAGUACAGACAUAAUUUUUUUUUUUUCUGAGACAGAGUGUUGCUCUGUCGCCCAGGCUGGAGUGCAGUGGUGCGAUCUCAGCUCACUGCAACCAAUGUCUCACAGGUUCAAGCAAUUCUCCUGCCUCAGCCUCCC
rnacentral:lncRNA from 10 species